UGGUGACCAGAAAGGACAGAAAAUAAUAUCCUUAGAACGGUUAAGACUUGGAAAGAAAUGCUUUUUCAGAUCAAGCUCUUGGUCUUAGCUGUUGUGUUUCAGCAAUAUCUGGAACAGGGUAAGUCGGUUUUCGUGGCUAACAUCUCUAAGAAGAGACAGAAGGAUAUAAUUGACGCACACAAUGCUGUGAGGGCAGGGGUAAACCCAACUGCCAGGAACAUGAUGAAAAUGAGAUGGGAUCAGGAAGCAAGUGAAACUGCUAAAAAAUGGGCUGCGCAAUGUAAAGGAAGAAUAAGUCCACCAGAAGAGCGAGUUGUGGAUGGAGUUUACUGUGGUGAAAUACUUUUAAGCUCUUAUAAACCUGUGUCCUGGUCAAAGAUAAUUCAAGAUUGGUCUGCUACAUCAGUGAAUUUCGAAUAUGGUCAUGGGCCAAUUAAUGACAUUAAUUUAAGUGAUGUCUAUACCCAGCUUGUUUGGCAUAAUUCAGACCGAGUUGGAUGUGCAACUGCUCAUUGUCCAGAACAAGUUAUCCCUUUCAUAUAUGUUUGCCACUAUUGCCCUGUAGGGAACAUAGUACAAUUUCUUCCAACGCCUUACAAAGAAGGCAAACCAUGUGCAGACUGCCCUGAUAGCUGUGAAAAUAACCUCUGUGUCCAUUCAUGUAUCUAUGUGGAUCAUAUUAAGGGAUGUGAUAAACUGCUACAAAUGUCCAAAUGUGAUGAAGAUUUGAUGCAAAAUAACUGCCAAGCAACCUGUAAAUGCAAACCUGGCAUUAACUAACAUAUAUAAGAAGACCACAAAUAUUCUUAAGAAAACUGUUCUUCACUGCCAAUGAUGGAAACUGACUAGGAAAAAUAAAUCCAUUUCCUGAUUUGACUGGUCAAAAUUUUGCAGUUAAUAGUAAUGGUGUGAAAUAAUAAUAAAAGUGACAAUGGAUUCA